rnacentral:lncRNA from 1 species
AUCCCCAGUGCUGGAGAGCAAUCCCCAGCACCCAGACCCGGGCGACCACUCUCAGGAAAGACUUUUGGAUUUGUCAUCUCUUCAGAGUGAAGGUUCCGUUUCCCCUGACUGUUAAGGAGACCAUCUUCCUGGUGUUUUAUCUGAGUAGUGAGAAACUGCAGUCAGAACCGCCGAGAAGGGAUGGACACAUGCAAGCCGAAUAAAGGGACCGAUUCCUGCUGCUGCCGAAGACCCCUGGAGAAUAACCAGCCAACCCAGGGAUCUUAAGGUCACAUUUAAGUGGACUUAAUGGACUCAGUAAGAAUUGUACAAACCAGCUGGUAUAGUGAGCUAUAGGACUAUGGAUAUCCUAUAACUAAUGAUUUUAGAGUAUAUUGUACAAAUAAGGAUUGUGAUUGUUACCCUUUUGUAUGCUAUAUUUGUAAAAUUUGCCAGGAACGGUGGUAGGUCCAUAGUUAUAGAGGCACUCCUCCUGGGGGUAUUUGUAAAGGGUGUUAUCAAUUAGAAAGAGAACUGACAGAGUCAGUCCUAAGGAUUGGAGAAGAGAACGGGACCCUACCAAGAGAAUCCCAAGAGUGGUGAGAGGUGUUUACUAAGGGGGCUAGGCCUGAAAAUUGUUGUUUCCACUCCAAUGAACAAAUUCCCCUAAUUGUUCAAAUUAUAAAAGGGAAUUGCCAGAAAACUUUACCUGGGAUUCAGUGUGACUCACUGCAAGUGAAGGAUAAAAACCGGGAAUCAUUCAAAAAGAGGCAACAAAAGCAGAGUAAGGGUCCUCCUGAAGAAUAUCCUUGCUGCCGAGAAGAUGGUACGCCUCACGGCUCGGAGCAACCAAGUCAGCGAGCGAGGCAGAGGGAUAAGAAGCGGUGGAGGAAAGAGCCCUCAAACUGGGACAAUUCAAAGGUGUUUCAAGAACUGCCUCAAGGAUACUGACCUCCCAAGGGUAAAGGUGAGCCCGGCAAUAACAUAUCAAAACAAACAUUGAGAAUGGGGAGAUAAUGAUACUCAAAUCCUGGGGCAGUUUGGACUCCACCCUUGCUGGCAAAUUCUGUGCAUAUUAGUUAUAUGUUGUACCGGGUCUGUACAAGGGGACUAUGCACACCAGCCAUUUAAUUGGACUCUGACCAAAAUAGACCAAGGAAAAGUUGUUAAGCAUAAUGCCACCACUGUAGCUCCCAUUUUUUUUUGUUACUAAUGAGGAUUUAGUAAACUCUAUGUGGAGAUGGAGUAAACCUAAACUCUGGGCUACCUAUUGGUGUCCUAGUUCCAAUCCUGGGAGGGGACAUUGUAAUUAUCCUGGGGAAUAUCUGUGUGAGUAUUAGGGCUGUAAAACCAUAGCAACCGCCUAAGCUGUCACCCAUCCAGAUAAAUUUUUAAAGGUCUCAUGGUACCCUGAGGGGUGCAAAACUCCGGGCUUUGGCACUCAAGGAGAAAUUCUGUAUAAGGGGGAUUGCAGGUCCCGUAAUAUUGUUGUUACUAAGUUUAACUUUCAGACCUUACAUUUUUAAUAAAAUCACAGACAUUAUAAAAGGAAGACUAGAGGCAGCUCAUCUAAUGCUUAUUAGAGAUAGGUACGAAACAUUGCCCAGGGACUUAGAAGUAGAUGAAACCCUGGUCUUAAGCUACCAAGAGUUAAAGCAUUUUAAUGAACAAAUUGGUAAAGAGAAAAAGGGGGGAUUGUAGUAAAUAAAAAGGCCUUUGUUCAUCAAAAUGAGCGUUAAAGGAGAUAAGAAUUUUAACUGAGUAGGGAAUGCAACUAGCAUAGAAGACUGUGUAACUAAUCAUAUACAAGUUAACUUCUAGGCCAAGGACAAUCUGCAAGGAAGAUGAGGAGCCUUCAUUCCUAUGACCACCAAGGGCAGCAAAAAAGACCCCCUAGCACCCAAUUGCACCGGCGCAGAGUGCGUCGACAGAAAAUAAAUCAACCGGAAAAAAAAAAAGGGGGACUAUAAAAACAAAAAGGUCAAAGGGGGAAGGUGCGCCGUGGCAGAGCAGAGGCUCCAGCCGCCCAGCGGUGUUCUUUUGCUUAAUACCGCUUGCUUAAUAAAUUCUUGUUAAUUGAUUUAUCUAUAAUUAGUCUCCCCAAGUGAAUUUGUCCGUAACAUAUAGGCAGUAAUCUGUUCAAUAUCAUGACAGUAUCAACUGUUUUUCUGACUGACUAAAAUUAGAAGAGAAUAUUAUGUAUUUUUGUAUGUAAAUUCUGUAAGUUUGUCACCUACACUGAAGGAAAACCUUUUUGGAGCAUUUGAGAGGCUGCAGUCUUUCUGGAUACACUUUUUGGAUUUUGCUUUACCAAAAGAAUACUCUAACAUAAUUACAGCUAUUAGAUUUGAAUCAGAAAUUCACUAAAGGAAGCUUGUGGCAUGUAUUUGGAGGAGAUAAAAUUUCAUAUUCCCUAUAGUCCCUAGGAACCUUGUCUCUGGGAGCUUAUUCAAUCUGGGUGACAGUAAAAGAUAUGCUGUAUAGCAGCCUGGCACACCAGCCUAAACACUGUGAGACAAAGCAGAUAGUGAUGCAAAUAGUUUACUGGCACUAAGGUUUUUUAAACAAAAGAAUUAUAAAUAUUUUGUUCACAAUUCAAUAAAUGUCUAGAGACUAUAUAAAUCCAAACUGUUAAAAAUUUAACUCCCAUGCAGGUAAUAUCUAGGAGCUAAAAAUCCAUCACAUUGUAUGUGAAAAUAUUUGAGGCAUGAUACUCCAAAAAAAUCCACACAAAUUCACCUAACUAGAAAUCAAUUUAUUAGGAAAAAAUUCUAUUUUUAUCAGAGUAUCAUUUUGGCCUUUGGAGAUUCAGCUUUUUACUAAGAAACCCCUAAAAUACUCUGAAAAAAAUACAGACAAAGAUUUUUCCCUCCAGUGUUUCUUUGCUAAGCAUCUCUUGCAAAUUAGUCACGAGCUCUAAUAUUAGUCCUUAAGAACUAAUUAAUCUGCAUGUUGGGACAGUCUUAUGAGAUACACAUUCCCUAUAAGGGAGCUUCCUUUACUUAAGCAUUUGAUAGGAUUGGGGUCACAACAUUAACUUGUGGCUGGGCAAAGGCCCACAACAGUUUCAGAAAUACUGCAUUUCCAUUGUUUAAUGUGUUGUUUCCCUGUCUGGUUCUGGCAGCUCCCAGGUAUUACUGAUGCCAUAUUCCUCUCAAACCCCAUUACCUAUUGUUACAGCAGGCUUCACCCUCAGGCAUUCAAAUAAGCUGAAACUUCCAGGAUGAUUUAUAAAACAAUUUCCUGUGGAAAACGUAACCAGUCUUGUAGAACAGAACACUUAGCUAGUGCCAGCUCAAUCUGCCAAUGCUUCCAUUAAACUACAAGCAGCUUCUUAAUGAUAACAAUUUUGAGUGAAAUAAAA